GACGAACGCUGGCGGCGUGCCUAAUACAUGCAAGUCGAGCGGACGGAUGGGAGCUUGCUCCCAGACCGUCAGCGGCGGACGGGUGAGUAACACGUGGGCAACCUGCCUGUAAGACUGGGAUAACUCCGGGAAACCGGGGCUAAUACCGGAUAACUCUUUCCCUCACAUGAGGGAAAGCUGAAAGAUGGCAUCUCGCUAUCACUUACAGAUGGGCCCGCGGCGCAUUAGCUAGUUGGUGAGGUAACGGCUCACCAAGGCGACGAUGCGUAGCCGACCUGAGAGGGUGAUCGGCCACACUGGGACUGAGACACGGCCCAGACUCCUACGGGAGGCAGCAGUAGGGAAUCUUCCGCAAUGGACGAAAGUCUGACGGAGCAACGCCGCGUGAGUGAUGAAGGUGUUCGGAUCGUAAAACUCUGUUGUCAGGGAAGAACAAGUACCGGAGUAACUGCCGGUAGCUUGACGGUACCUGACCAGAAAGCCACGGCUAACUACGUG
rnacentral:rRNA from 1 species